rnacentral:lncRNA from 1 species
AUGCCAGGCUGCACUUGCACGUCGCGGGCCAGUCUCCUCGCCUGCAGGUAAGGGAGCAUCUUCUCGCGGAAUCCGCUUGCAGGGCACUUUAAAGAGCCAGAAUCCCUAGACCUUUUUAGGACGGAGAAGGGAACCGGUUUCCUGGGAAAGUUAAGAACUCAGAAUCCGCAGUUUUGUGUGUUUAUGGAUCUUGUGGGUAGGUAGCUGGGUCAGAAGAGAUGAAUUAAUUGGUCCUAGCGCGACUUGACUGUUUGCUAGCAAUGACUGGGUCUUUCCACUUGAAGCAUCUCCGGAGGUCCCUUCCUCUGUCGAGGUCUAGGAUGCUGGAGCUUAAGAUUUUCAUUCUAUCUGCCCAGAGAACCUAAAGGAUUUUUGGAAGAAAAUGUCCCAAACAGUUCUUAGAUACAGUGACCUAGGCUAUGUUAAAGUUUAGGUUGGGGUUGUCAUAAGAGGUGAAAGUACAAUAUUCUAUCUUUUUUUAAAAAUAAAUUAUUACAGGUGCUUUCCUAUGAAUUACUUAGCCAGUUUUUUUUUAAUUGCUAUAUUCCAUUGUGCUGGGUUAUUAAAGGGCAUCACUCUCCCACUGAGGAAUGCACAGGUUAGUAAUAGUGCCUUACUAGCUCAGUCAUCCACUGACCAUCUGUGUAUGUGACUGUCUGGAAUAUGGCUAGGUAUUUCAUUUAGAUAAACUCUUAUAUGUAUAAGUACUUCAUUAUGUUUGAGUGUCUGAAAGGCCUUUGUGUAGAAAAAAAAAAAACAACAACCUGAGAAUACAUUCCAGAAAGUAUCCGCAGCUGAUGAUGAUAGUGACCAAGCGGUGUUUAAGGAGAACUUUAUACAGGGAAAAUAUUCACCUUUCCCAGCUGAGCAUCAUAGAUAGGAAGACAUGAUAGUGGUUAUAUGCUGCUCUAAGGAGGGAUGGAGAAGGGAUGGAUUUGAGCACAGGGUUCAGGAUCAUUUGAUAGAAUUUGAAAACUGGGUAAAUUUUCACUCUUUUGAGAAAGGAAGUUUGCAUCUGCUUCCCCUCCCCGCCCCAGGCACUCUUCCCCCCCCCAUCCCCCCCCGUGCCCCCCCCCCCCAUGGGAAGAUAAAGAAGUGGCGUUCCAAGAUCUUCAUCUGGACUUCCCCUGGGACAAACCUAUUUCCCCAUCUUGAAUGAGCGUCACUUCUUUACUUUAAACUCUGUUCUGUGAAAGGCUCUCAGCUCUUGUCUGGGAAUUUGUGAAAGGUUACAGUUUCUUGCCGGAGGGAGGGAGAAGGUGACCCUGGACUCUUAGCCCAUGUAAGAGGUGCAGGUUUAGAGGUCAAAGGCCAUGCUGAUUUACAUGGUCCCUGAAUUUCCCCUUUUGAUCUACUGCUCACACCUGCACCCUGAGAGCCAGGGAGGGGAGGAUAUGAUACUGAAGAAGGUGACUAUCAGACCCAACCCAUCACCUUUCAGACUUUAUACUAAGCUUUAAAGCAGACUCAUAAGCAAUAGAUAACUGUUCCAACUGAGUCUGCCAUCAACGUAGGAAAAAUUAGGUACAGUCUUCAGUGGAUAUCAUGUACCUCAUUGUGACUGUCUAGUACUCGGCUUGGCCAUUUCUCCCAGGGCCUCAUUGCAACAGUCACUGUGUCCUCACAGGCCUGGAUGUCAUCCUGCCUCAUCUGCUUGGGCAGAUGAACUGGAGAGAUAUGAUUAAUAAUGAGUCAUUUGAUUUUGCUCUUUUUGUAAAUGUCCUUGGUUUGGUUUGGUUUGUUUAUUUUUUGUUUUGUUGUUGUUGUUUGUUUUUAUUUUCAUGCUCUUGUUGUUGUUUGAGACAGAGUCUCACUAUGUAGCCCAGGCUAGCCUCUUCCCCCAGUCUCUCAGAUGCUGUUGCAUCUGCCCUUUUCUAACAUCAAUGAUUCAUAAUAAUCAGCAAGAAGGCUAUGACCUUAACAGUCAAAAUAAGUAAUCAGGUAAUUAUUGAGAGCUAAAUAUUUAUUUAAACAAAUCAAGUUGCAUUUUUCAAGAAUUGAAUGGGGGGAUCUAAAAAGUAAUGUUUGUGCUGCACAAAGAUGUAGUGGUAUCAGUUGCCAUAGUCUUUCUCCCUAGAUCCGCAGAUCUCCUUAGGGAAAUCUAUAAUUCAAGCCUAAACUUGGACCUGGUACACAACUGGUACUCGCCCAAACAUUGGCCAAGCACACACAUAUUUGUGACUCUGAAAAAAGGGACAACACAUAACAGCAAAGGCGCUCCGUGUUAGGGGCCUGUUAAAUACAAGACUUGGGGAAAUUAUGCCAUAAUCUUACAUUUUAAAAAUGGCUAUUACAUGUGUGAGACAACGGGGGCUGGAGAGAUACCUCAGAGGUACUAGGCACACAUAUGGCAAGCAGAUGUACAAGCAGGCAAAACAUUCUUAAAAAACAAAAACAAAACCCCAAAACAGAUUUCUUUCUAUAUUAUUUAUAUGGGGUUCUGCCUGCGUGUACACCUGAAGGGCAGAGGAGAGCACCAGGUCUCAUAGGUGGUUGGUUGUAAGCUACCAUAUGGUUGCUAGGAAUUAAACUCAGGACUUUGGUAAGAGCAGCCAGUGCUCUUAACCUCUGAGCCAUCCCUCCAGUCCCAGACAAAACACUCUUACACAUAAAAUAAAUCAAUCUUUAAAAGUGUAGAGGAAAAUGGCUGAACAGAAACUAUUGACAGACAUGCUGAGAGUGGUCACCGUUUCUCCAGCUUGGCACUGGUGGUGCUGUAGGCCAUCUCAGUGUCUGUCACCUUGGGGCGGGGCGGGGGGCGGGAGGGGGGGAAGGCGGCAGGGCAGGGUCUUGGCAGCAUCUCGGGCCUCUAUUUCAUCACAUCAGUAACAGCUCUCCUUCGUCCCAAGCAAGCUUUGGCAACCAAAUAAAUAUGUUAGCCAAUAUUACCAAACGGUCCCUAGAGGAGAAUGUGUGUAAUGUGCCUACAUUCGUUUUUAUAACAACACCAACAAUAUCCAACCAUAAAAAUAAACUGAAAUGGUCACUCUACCUCAGUGACAACGUCUGAGCUCCGUUUCAGGGUCCCUCACAAGAAAUUCGAUAGGUGUAAUGAUUUAUUUUUCCUAAUAAGUAAAAUGAUUAUUCACUCAUUUGAAAAUUGGACACACACAC